rnacentral:rRNA from 1 species
CGACGAACCGUCCAAACGUUAUUCGGAAUCACUGGGCUUAAAGGGUGCGUAGGCGGCACGGCAAGUUGGGUGUGAAAGCCCUCGGCUCAACCGAGGAAUUGCGCCCAAAACUGCCGCGCUCGAGGGAGACAGAGGUGAGCGGAACUUAGGGUGGAGCGGUGGAAUGCGUUGAUAUCCUAAGGAACACCGGUGGCGAAAGCGGCUCACUGGGUCUCUUCUGACGCUGAGGCACGAAAGCUAGGGGAGCGAACGGGAUUAGAAACCCUAGUAGUCC